rnacentral:snRNA from 1 species
GUGCUCGCUUUGGCAGCACAAAUACUCAAACUGGAACAAUACAGAGAAGAUUAGCAUGACCCCUGCACAAGGAUGACAUGCAAAUUUGUGAAGGAUUCCAUAUUUAA